CGAGUCUUAAUUGGGCGUUAAGUUGCAGGGUAUAGACCCGAAACCCGGUGAUCUAGCCAUGGGCAGGUUGAAGGUUGGGUAACACUAACUGGAGGACCGAACCGACUAAUGUUGAAAAAUUAGCGGAUGACCUGUGGCUGGGGGUGAAAGGCCAAUCAAACCGGGAGAUAGCUGGUUCUCCCCGAAAGCUAUUUAGGUAGCGCCUCGUGAAUUCAUCUCCGGGGGUAGAGCACUGUUUCGGCUAGGGGGCCAUCCCGGCUUACCAACCCGAUGCAAACUGCGAAUACCGGAGAAUGUUAUCACGGGAGACACACGGCGGGUGCUAACGUCCGUCGUGAAGAGGGAAACAACCCAGACCGCCAGCUAAGGUCCCAAAGUCAUGGUUAAGUGGGAAACGAUGUGGGAAGGCCCAGACAGCCAGGAUGUUGGCUUAGAAGCAGCCAUCAUUUAAAGAAAGCGUAAUAGCUCACUGGUCGAGUCGGCCUGCGCGGAAGAUGUAACGGGGCUAAACCAUGCACCGAAGCUGCGGCAGCGAACGUAUCACCCAAGACAACUUUACGGAGUUGACGAUUGACGGAGCGAAGCGACGUCAAAGCGUUCAUUAAAGUCGAGUUGGCUUAGGGAUACGUUCGUUGGGUAGGGGAGCGUUCUGUAAGCCUGUGAAGGUGUGUCGUGAGGCAUGCUGGAGGUAUCAGAAGUGCGAAUGCUGACAUAAGUAACGAUAAAGCGGGUGAAAAGCCCGCUCGCCGGAAGACCAAGGGUUCCUGUCCAACGUUAAUCGGGGCAGGGUGAGUCGACCCCUAAGGCGAGGCCGAAAGGCGUAGUCGAUGGGAAACGGGUUAAUAUUCCCGUACUUGGUGUUACUGCGAAGGGGGGACGGAGAAGGCUAUGUUGGCCGGGCGACGGUUGUCCCGGUUUAAGCGUGUAGGUGUGUGUUCCAGGUAAAUCCGGUU
rnacentral:rRNA from 2 species